ACAAAAACCAGAAAGAAUGGGUCGGUGAAGAUACAGUUCAAUUCUAGGCGGAUUAGUCUGCUGAUUUUGUAAAAACUGCCAAUGCCGAGCAGCAUUUAAAAGCUACCAUGACGAGAGUUCCGGAAGUUUUUUCAGCCUAUUUAAUUUGUGAUCCUAGAGGGCAUCAGUGGCGGAGAGAAGCAGAAUUAUCCCCAGGACCCCUGAUGCCACUUCCAACUGGAGCCACAAAUGUCCCACCCCUUCCAAGCUCAAAUACCUCCAGGCCCAAGGACACUUGGUCUUCGUUGACCCGAGUUUAAAGGAGACAGGGGUCUGUGGAGAGAACAGCCCUUCCACAUUACGAGUGAUGUCAUUGCAUUUUGCAGUUUCUUGCCUUAUCUGUGCACAAUAACCCAGACAUUAAACGGGGAACACCAGCUGGUGCCACAACUCUUUUUAUGUCU